rnacentral:rRNA from 1 species
UACGUAGGGUGCAAGCGUUGUCCGGAAUUAUUGGGCGUAAAGAGCUCGUAGGCGGUUUGUCGCGUCGACUGUGAAAACCCGAGGCUUAACCUCGGGCCUGCAGUCGAUACGGGCAGACUAGAGUUCGGUAGGGGAGACUGGAAUUCCUGGUGUAGCGGUGAAAUGCGCAGAUAUCAGGAGGAACACCGAUGGCGAAGGCAGGUCUCUGGGCCGAUACUGACGCUGAGGAGCGAAAGCGUGGGGAGCGAACAGG